rnacentral:rRNA from 1 species
CUUAAAGGAAUUGGACGGGGGAGCACCACAACAGGUGGAGCCUGCGGUUUAAUCGGACUCAACGCCGGGAAACUCACCAGAUAAGACAGCUGAAUGAUAGUCGGGCUGAAGACUCUACUUGACUAGCUGAGAGGAGGUGCAUGGCCGUCGUCAGUUCGUACUGUGAAGCAUCCUGUUAAGUCAGGCAGCGAGCGAGACCCACGCCAACAGUUGCCAGCUCGUCCUCCGGGAUGGUGGGGACACUGUUGGGACCGCCUCUGCUAAAGAGGAGGAAGGAAUGGGCAACGGUAGGUCAGCAUGCCCCGAAUUAUCUGGGCUACACGCGGGCUACAAUGGGUGGGACAAUGGGUAUCGACACCGAAAGGUGAAGGCAAUCUCCUAAACCCAUCCGUAGUUCGGAUUGUGGGCUGCAACUCGCCCACAUGAAGCUGGAAUCUGUAGUAAUCGUGUCUCAAAAUGGCACGGUGAAUAUGUCCCUGCUCCUU